GCCUUAGUGGUGGAAUUGGCAGACACAGCGGACUCAAAAUCCGCCGGAAUUUUCCUUGCAGGUUCAAGUCCUGUCUGAGGCACCA
rnacentral:tRNA from 2 species